AGGCGUUCAAAACAUUAAACGUUGGCUGAUUUAUGAUUAGGCUAGUGUUAUGCACGCAACGCUAGAGAAAAUUGGUAGUAUUUAAUAAUGCGUUGGUGGCAAAUCUAUCGAUUUUGAUCUUCGCAUUUUGAGGUACUAGCACAGU
rnacentral:snoRNA from 1 species